CGACCAGACUCCUACGGGAGGCAGCAGUGGGGAAUAUUGCACAAUGGGGGAAACCCUGAUGCAGCGACGCCGCGUGAGCGAUGAAGUAUUUCGGUAUGUAAAGCUCUAUCAGCAGGGAAGAAAAUGACGGUACCUGACUAAGAAGCCCCGGCUAACUACGUGCCAGCAGCCGCGGUAAUACGUAGGGGGCAAGCGUUAUCCGGAUUUACUGGGUGUAAAGGGGGCGCAGACGGCGAUGCAAGCCAGGAGUGAAAGCCCGGGGCCCAACCCCGGGACUGCUCUUGGAACUGCGUGGCUAGAGUGCAGGAGGGGCAGGCGGAAUUCCUGGUGUAGCGGUGAAAUGCGUAGAUAUCAGGAGGAACACCGGUGGCGAAGGCGGCCUGCUGGACUGCGACUGACGUUGAGGCCCGAAAGCGUGGGGAGCAAACAGGAUUAGAUACCCUCGUAAC
rnacentral:rRNA from 1 species